GGACUACUCGGGUUUCUAAUCCCGUUUGCUCCCCUGGCUUUCGCGCCUCAGCGUCAGUAGAGGGCCAGCGGACCGCUUUCGCCACCGGCGUUCCUUCCGAUAUCAACGCAUUUCACCGCUCCACCGGAAGUUCCGUCCGCCCCUACCUCCCUCGAGCUCCCCAGUAUCAGAGGCACUUUUCCGGUUGAGCCGAAAGAUUUCACCCCUGACUUUUGGAGCCGCCUACGCGCCCUUUAAGCCCAGUGAUUCCGAACAACGUUCGCACGGUUCGUCUUACCGCGGCGGCUGGCAC
rnacentral:rRNA from 3 species